UACGGAAGGUCCGAGCGUUAUCCGGAUUUAUUGGGUUUAAAGGGAGCGUAGGCGGGCUGUUAAGCCAGCCGUCAAAUUGCGGGGCUCAACCCCGUACCGCGGUUGGAACUGGCGGCCUUGAGUCGGCAAGAGGCGCGUGGAAUUCGUGGUGUAGCGGUGAAAUGCAUAGAUAUCACGAGGAACUCCGAUUGCGAAGGCAGCGCGCUGGGGCCGUACUGACGCUGAUGCUCGAAGGCGCGGGUAUCAAACAGG
rnacentral:ncRNA from 2 species